rnacentral:rRNA from 1 species
AAGUAUACCUGCUGACGUCUGGCAUUCAUCGUUUACGGUGUGGACUACCAGGGUAUCUAAUCCUGUUUGCUCCCCACACUUUCGUACCUCAGCGUCAGUAUCGAGCCAGUAAGCCGCCUUCGCCACUGGUGUUCCUCCGAAUAUCUACGAAUUUCACCUCUACACUCGGAAUUCCACUUACCUCUCUCGAACUCAAGACUAGCAGUAUUAAAGGCAGUUCCAGGGUUGAGCCCUGGGAUUUCACCUCUAACUUACUAAUCCGCCUACGUACGCUUUACGCCCAGUAAUUCCGAACAACGCUAACCCCCUCCGUAUUACCGCGGCUGCUGGCACGGAGUUAGCCGGGGUUUCUUUACCAGAUACUGUCAUUAUCAUCUCUGGCGAAAGUGCUUUACGACCCUAAGGCCUUCAUCACACACGCGGCAUGGCUAGAUCAGGGUUUCCCCCAUUGUCUAAGAUUCCCUACUGCUGCCUCCCGUAGGAGUCUGGGCCGUGUCUCAGUCCCAGUGUGGCUGAUCAUCCUCUCAAACCAGCUAUAGAUCGUAGGCUUGGUAGGCCAUUACCCCACCAACUACCUAAUCUAACGCGGGCUAAUCCUUCUCCGAUAAAUCUUUCCCCCGAAGGGCGUAUAAGGUAUUACUCUCAGUUUCCCGAGGCUAUUCCUUAGAGAAGGGCAUAUUCCCACGCGUUACUCACCCGUCCGCCGCUCACCCCGAAGGGCGCGCUCGACUUGCAUGUAUUAGGCCUGCCGCCAGCGUUCGUUCUGAGCCAGGAUCAAACUCU